GAGUUUGAUCGUGGCUCAGAUUGAACGCUGGCGGCAGGCCUAACACAUGCAAGUCGAGCGUGAAAGUCCUUCGGGAUGAGUAAAGACGGCGGACGGGUGAGUAACGCGUAGGAAUCUACCUGGUAGUGGGGGAGUAACGUCUCGAAAGGGGCGCUAAUACCGCAUACGUUCCGAGGAAGAAAGCGGGGGAGUCGCAAGACCUCGCGCUAUCAGAUGAGCCUGCGUCCGAUUAGCUAGUUGGUGGGGUAAAAGGCCUACCAAGGCGACGAUCGGUAACUGGUCUGAGAGGAUGAUCAGUCACACUGGAACUGAGACACGGUCCAGACUCCUACGGGAGGCAGCAGUGGGGAAUAUUGGACAAUGGGGGCAACCCUGAUCCAGCCAUGCCGCGUGUGUGAAGAAGGCCUUCGG
rnacentral:rRNA from 1 species